rnacentral:rRNA from 1 species
CGGAACGAGUUAUCUGAACCUUCGGGGGACGAUAACGGCGUCGAGCGGCGGACGGGUGAGUAAUGCCUAGGAAAUUGCCCUGAUGUGGGGGAUAACCAUUGGAAACGAUGGCUAAUACCGCAUGAUGCCUACGGGCCAAAGAGGGGGACCUUCGGGCCUCUCGCGUCAGGAUAUGCCUAGGUGGGAUUAGCUAGUUGGUGAGGUAAGGGCUCACCAAGGCGACGAUCCCUAGCUGGUCUGAGAGGAUGAUCAGCCACACUGGAACUGAGACACGGUCCAGACUCCUACGGGAGGCAGCAGUGGGGAAUAUUGCACAAUGGGCGCAAGCCUGAUGCAGCCAUGCCGCGUGUGUGAAGAAGGCCUUCGGGUUGUAAAGCACUUUCAGUCGUGAGGAAGGUAGUGUAGUUAAUAGCUGCAUUAUUUGACGUUAGCGACAGAAGAAGCAC